rnacentral:tRNA from 1 species
GCUCCCGUAGCUCAGUUGGAUAGAGCGAUCGCCUCCUAAGCGAUAGGCCAUGCGUUCGAAUCGCAUCGGGAGCACCA